GUCGAUAUGUCGGAGUGGUUAAGGAGUCAGACUCGAAAUCUGAUGGGCUAUGCCUGCUACAGGUUCAAAUCCUGCUGUCGACG